UACGUAGGGCGCAAGCGUUGUCCGGAAUUAUUGGGCGUAAAGAGCUCGUAGGUGGCUUGUUGCGUCUGCCGUGAAAGUCCGUGGCUUAACUGCGGGUCUGCGGUGGAUACGGGCAGGCUAGAGGCUGGUAGGGGCAAGCGGAAUUCCUGGUGUAGCGGUGAAAUGCGCAGAUAUCAGGAGGAACACCGGUGGCGAAGGCGGCUUGCUGGGCCAGUUCUGACGCUGAGGAGCGAAAGCUAGGGGAGCAACCAGG
rnacentral:rRNA from 1 species